CACCGCGGUUAUACGGGAGGCCCAAGUUGUUGGAAGUCGGCGUAAAGGGUGGUUAAGAAUAAACUUAAAAUUAAAGCCGAACGCCUUCCGGGCUGUUAUACGCAUCCGAAGGUAAGAAGCUCAAUUACGAAAGUAGCUCUAUAUUUUCUGAACCCACGAAAGCUAAGACACAAACUGGGAUUAGAUACCCCACUAUGCUUAGCCAUAAACAUUGACAGUAUAUUACAUUUUCUGUCCGCCUGGGAACUACAAGCAUUAGCUUAAAACCCAAAGGACUUGGCGGUGCUUUAGACCCACCUAGAGGAGCCUGUUCUAGAACCGAUAAUCCCCGUUCAACCUCACCCUUCCUUGCUCAUUCCGCCUAUAUACCGCCGUCGUCAGCUUACCCUGUGAAGGACAAAAACUAAGCAAGACUGGCAUCGCCCAGUACGUCAGGUCGAGGUGUAGCGAAUGGAAGGGGAAGAAAUGGGCUACAUUCCCUUAUACACAGGGAACUACGAAUGGUAUACUGAAAACGUACACCUGAAGGAGGAUUUAGCAGUAAGAGGAAAAUAGAGUGUUCCACUGAAGCUGGCUCUUAAGCGCGCACACACCGCCCGUCACUCUCCCCAAAACUUUACCUUCACAUUAAUUAAAAUGCCAAAAUCAUAGAGGGGAGGCAAGUCGUAACAUGGUAAGUG
rnacentral:rRNA from 1 species